rnacentral:rRNA from 1 species
CAGUAGCCGCGGUAAUACAGAGGGUGCGAGCGUUAAUCGGAUUUACUGGGCGUAAAGCGUGCGUAGGCGGCUUUUUAAGUCGGAUGUGAAAUCCCUGAGCUUAACUUAGGAAUUGCAUUCGAUACUGGGAAGCUAGAGUACGGGAGAGGAUGGUAGAAUUCCAGGUGUAGCGGUGAAAUGCGUAGAGAUCUGGAGGAAUACCGAUGGCGAAGGCAGCCAUCUGGCCUAAUACUGACGCUGAGGUACGAAAGCAUGGGGAGCAAACAGGAUUAGAUACCCGGGUAGUCCCUGUCUAUUAUAC